rnacentral:rRNA from 1 species
CAAUGGGCGAAGCCUGAUGCAGCGACGCCGCGUGAGCGAAGAAGUAUUUCCGUAUGUAAAGCUCUAUCAGCAGGGNAAGAUAAUGACGGUACCUGCACUAAGAAGCACCGGCUAAAUACGUGCCAGCAGCCGCGGUAAUACGUAUGGUGCAAGCGUUAUCCGGAUUUACUGGGUGUAAAGGGAGCGUAGNCGGNAUNGCAAGUCNGAUGUGAAAACUAUGGGCUNAACCCGUNAACUGCAUUUGAAACUGUGGUUCUUGAGUGANGUAGAGGUAAGCGGAAUUCCUAGUGUAGCGGUGAAAUGCGUAGAUAUUAGGAGGAACAUCAGUGGCGAAGGCGGCUUACUGGGCUNUAACUGACGCUGAGGCUCGAAAGCGUGGGGAGCAAACAGGAUUAGAUACCCUGGUAGUCCAAGGGCGAAUUC